CCCUUAGAUGUUCGGGGCCGCACGCGCGCUACACUGAAGGAAUCAGCGCGUCUUUCUCCUUGUCCGAAAGGACUGGGUAACCCGCUGAACCUCCUUCGUGCUAGGGAUUGGGGCUUGUAAUUCUUCCCCAUGAACGAGGAAUUCCCAGUAAGCGCGAGUCAUAAGCUCGCGUUGAUUACGUCCCUGCCCUUUGUACACACCGCCCGUCGCUACUACCGAUUGGAUGGUUUAGUGAGAUCCUCGGAUUGGUCCCGGCGCGGCCUCUGGUCGUGCCGGAGUGCCGAAAAGAAUGUCGAACUUGAUCAUUUAGAGGAAGUAAAAGUCGUAACA
rnacentral:rRNA from 1 species